CCUACGGGUGGCAGCAGUGGGGAAUAUUGCACAAUGGGGGAAACCCUGAUGCAGCGACGCCGCGUGAGUGAAGAAGUCAUUCGUUAUGUAAAGCUCUAUCAGCAGGGAAGAAAAUGACGGUACCUGAGUAAGAAGCCCCGGCUAACUCCGUGCCAGCACCCGCGGUAAUACGCAGGGGGCAAGCGUUAUCCGGAUUUACUGGGCGUAAAGGGAGCGUAGACGGCAGUGCAAGUCUGGAGUGAAAGGCGGGGGCUCAACCCCCGGACUGCUCUGGAAACUGUACGGCUUGAGUGCAGGAGAGGUAGGUGGAAUUCGUGGUGUAGCGGUGAAAUGCGUAGAUAUUAGGAGGAACACCGGUGGCGAAGGCGGCUUACUGGACUGUGACUGACGUUGAGGCUCGAAGGCGUGGGGAGCAAACAGGAUUAGAUACCCUAGUAGUC
rnacentral:rRNA from 1 species